ensembl:lncRNA
UCGCUUUAUGGACCCCUGAUAGGAUCGACAGCCGGUCAGAAAUCGGUGAUGGGAGAAGGGAGAACGGAGAAGGGAAGGGAAGUCCUCUUGCCUGGCUCUCCAUCCUGCUUCUGCCCUCCCACCCCAGGCCUUGAAGGACACUAGGGCACCUGGCUUGUGAAGCGGCCGACUUCAAGUUUGUACUUGGCCGUCAUGCACCCCGGAUGCACUGGGCACAAAUUGCAGCCACCCUGCUUUUGGAGGUGUCGCCAGUCAAUGAGGUGAAGCACGGUGAGGUCCCAGCUCCAGCACCGUGGACUAUUGAACGGUCAAAGUGUAUGUGCAUAUUUAGGAUCUGAAGAAUGAAAACAGCAGAACGGUGCCAAACGAAACUGUAUUUCCUUAAUCUGUUCUUAUAGGGUGGGGUGGAGCAACAACAGACAGCACUCGAUGUUUCUCACCUCGGGUGCUAUGUGAUAAUUCAGGGACUGGCAUGGCUCCUGUGGGUCAUUCAUCAAAGCCAUUCUAAAGCAAGGACUGCUUGGUGGGAGCUGAGCUUCCCACCACAAAGACAGCUGGAAAAUAGUUCCUGGAAACAAGAAUCAAAGAGGAUACACCCUGAUCACUGCUCCUAAAUGAGCCGGGCUGAGGAGGGUCACACAUUCUAAACCAGUGAGGUUGCCCUGCUCUCCAGGCACCGGUGAUGCCAAGCUACAUCAGCACCGCAUCAGCAAUUCCUAUGUGACACUGAUCAGAUCUUUACCAGAGAUGUGUAUUCAACAGGAUCACCGUUGAAGAGGAGAAAUGAGAGGAAGAUUGUCAAAGCUAAUAUGUGGUUAUCGAUCAGAACUUCUGAGAGAAUCUUAAAUCAUCUUUCACGUGGAGGAAAGAAGACUGAAAGUGGAUUUAACAACUUUUAUUCAACUCAAGACCAUGCAUACGGGAUAUCGGCAGGAUGAUGGCUCCAGUCACAAAGGCCAGAAAAUGAGGAAGGGGAGUCAAAUUUGCAUUAGAGCGGGAGGAAGAAAGAAAGAUUGAAUUUAAGAUGAAGCUUCUUUAGAAAAUUCUUACAAAACCCCGGGAUAGGUGACAAUGGAAGCCUAUGGGAUUUUCUCUUGUGGAGCUCUGUGAAAACGGACAGCCCCUGUUCGUCUGGGCCAGGAGAGGUACUCACCUGGCUACGUAGUCUGCCCCAGAAAUCUGAGCAGGAGGGGAGGUGGGUAUGGCAGGGAUAGUUCCUGAACCCUGGAAAACACAAGUUAAAGCACUUAAAAUCUUUCAGCGAAAAGAAGCAACCUUAGAGUCAUCUGUGACUGGGAGACGGAAUCCGAAUGCUCACGUAAGAUCGAGCGGGGGAAUGGGGCGCGCGGAGGAAGUACAGGCGAAGCGGAGGAAAAGACACAGGUCAUUUUGUUUCCUAGUGAAAGACACCACUCCACUCCUGGUGGAACCAUCCUAAAUUCCCAUCUGUGGGCCUCAGUUUCCUUUUCUGUAAUACGAAGUGCUUGUGUUACGCAUUCUCUUGGGUUCCUUCCAAUUUUGAAUUUGUGUUCGUGAAAUUGAUCCAGAGAAAAUGUGAGGACAUCUGUGAAAAGACACCUCAGUCCCAAACCCAGGCCGUCCCAGUGGGGUGAGUGGUGCACAGAGAGGCCAGCGCACCUGCACGGUGGAGGGCUGGGCACUGGGGUCAGACGGGGCAGGUAGGGGUUGAAAUCUUCCCUGCUUGUCAGCCAGAGGCAAGUUACUUAUCUUCUCUGAACUUCAAAAUCUUCAUUUGUAAAAUGGGGAUAAUAAUAGCUCAUUUGAACUGAAAUUAGAAAAUGCGAGUAGAAUACUUGGUACAGGAACAUCUAAUAGCUUCCAUGUAUCAGGCAUAUAAGUAUCAAUAAAACAGUACCUAUUGCAUUAAUAUUUUUGGAAUAAUAAUUUUAUACCUUUUUAUUUCUCACCUUUUUAUUUCUAUCUAUAUUGAG